UACGAAGGGUGCAAACGUUGUUCGGAAUUACUGGGCGUAAAGGGCUCGUAGGUGGCCAACUAAGUCAGACGUGAAAUCCCUCGGCUUAACCGGGGAACUGCGUCUGAUACUGGAUGGCUUGAGUUUGGGAGAGGGAUGCGGAAUUCCAGGUGUAGCGGUGAAAUGCGUAGAUAUCUGGAGGAACACCGGUGGCGAAGGCGGCAUCCUGGACCAACACUGACACUGAGGAGCGAAAGCCAGGGGAGCAAACGGG
rnacentral:rRNA from 1 species